rnacentral:tRNA from 1 species
GCCGAAGUGGCGGAAUGGUAGACGCGGCGGUCUCAAAAACCGUUGCCUUUUAUUGGGCGUGUCGGUUCGAAUCCGACCUUCGGCA